AACGUCGUAUCAGUGGUGACCUGGUGUUUGCAUCGGUGACUUACAUUUGAGUGAGUGGCGAACUGGUGAGUAACACGUGGGAAACCUGCCCAGAAGCGGGGGAUAACACCUGGAAACAGAUGCUAAUACCGCAUAACAACUUGGACCGCAUGGUCCGAGUUUGAAAGAUGGCUUCGGCUAUCACUUUUGGAUGGUCCCGCGGCGUAUUAGCUAGAUGGUGGGGUAACGGCUCACCAUGGCAAUGAUACGUAGCCGACCUGAGAGGGUAAUCGGCCACAUUGGGACUGAGACACGGCCCAAACUCCUACGGGAGGCAGCAGUAGGGAAUCUUCCACAAUGGACGAAAGUCUGAUGGAGCAACGCCGCGUGAGUGAAGAAGGGUUUCGGCUCGUAAAACUCUGUUGUUAAAGAAGAACAUAUCUGAGAGUAACUGUUCAGGUAUUGACGGUAUUUAACCAGAAAGCCACGGCUAACUACGUGCCAGCAGCCGCGGUAAUACGUAGGUGGCAAGCGUUGUCCGGAUUUAUUGGGCGUAAAGCGAGCGCAGGCGGUUUUUUAAGUCUGAUGUGAAAGCCUUCGGCUCAACCGAAGAAGUGCAUCGGAAACUGGGAAGCUUGAGUGCAGAAGAGGACAGUGGAACUCCAUGUGUAGCGGUGAAAUGCGUAGAUAUAUGGAAGAACACCAGUGGCGAAGGCGGCUGUCUGGUCUGUAACUGACGCUGAGGCUCGAAAGUAUGGGUAGCAAACAGGAUUAGAUACCCUGGUAGUCCAUACCGUAAACGAUGAAUGCUAAGUGUUGGAGGGUUUCCGCCCUUCAGUGCUGCAGCUAACGCAUUAAGCAUUCCGCCUGGGGAGUACGGCCGCAAGGCUGAAACUCAAAGGAAUUGACGGGGGCCCGCACAAGCGGUGGAGCAUGUGGUUUAAUUCGAAGCUACGCGAAGAACCUUACCAGGUCUUGACAUACUAUGCAAAUCUAAGAGAUUAGACGUUCCCUUCGGGGACAUGGAUACAGGUGGUGCAUGGUUGUCGUCAGCUCGUGUCGUGAGAUGUUGGGUUAAGUCCCGCAACGAGCGCAACCCUUAUUAUCAGUUGCCAGCAUUAAGUUGGGCACUCUGGUGAGACUGCCGGUGACAAACCGGAGGAAGGUGGGGAUGACGUCAAAUCAUCAUGCCCCUUAUGACCUGGGCUACACACGUGCUACAAUGGAUGGUACAACGAGUUGCGAACUCGCGAGAGUAAGCUAAUCUCUUAAAGCCAUUCUCAGUUCGGAUUGUAGGCUGCAACUCGCCUACAUGAAGUCGGAAUCGCUAGUAAUCGCGGAUCAGCAUGCCGCGGUGAAUACGUUCCCGGGCCUUGUACACACCGCCCGUCACACCAUGAGAGUUUGUAACACCCACAAGCGGUGGCGUAGCCUACCA
rnacentral:rRNA from 1 species